CGCGGCCUAUCAGCUUGUUGGUGGGGUAACGGCCUACCAAGGCGAUGACGGGUAGCUGGCGUGAGAGCGCGACCAGUCACACUGGGACUGAGACACGGCCCAGACUCCUACGGGAGGCAGCAGUAGGGAAUCUUGCACAAUGAGCGCAAGCUUGAUGCAGCGACGCCGCGUGUGGGAUGACGGCCUUCGGGUUGUAAACCACUUUCAGCGGGGACGAAGCCCUUUGGGUGACGGUACCCGCAGAAGAAGGUCCGGCCAACUACGUGCCAGCAGCCGCGGUAACACGUAGGGACCGAGCGUUGUCCGGAAUCAUUGGGCGUAAAGAGCGCGUAGGCGGCUAUCCACGUCGGGUGUGAAAGCUCAGAGCUCAACUCUGAGAGGCCAUUCGAUACGGGAUAGCUAGAGGCAGCUAGGGGAGAGUGGAAUUCCUGGUGUAGCGGUGAAAUGCGCAGAUAUCAGGAGGAACACCGGUGGCGAAGGCGGCUCUCUGGGGCUGAUCUGACGCUGAGGCGCGAAAGCUGGGGGAGCAAACAGGAUUAGAUACCCUGGUAGUCCCAGCCGUAAACGUUGGGUGCUAGGUGUGGGGAGGUCUUCAACCCUCUCCGUGCCGAAGCUAACGCAUUAAGCACCCCGCCUGGGGAGUACGG
rnacentral:rRNA from 1 species